UGCUUACACAUGCAAGUCGAACGAUGACCCGGUGCUUGCACCGGUGAUUAGUGGCGAACGGGUGAGUAACACGUGAGUAACCUGCCCUUAACUCUGGGAUAAGCCUGGGAAACUGGGUCUAAUACCGGAUAUGACUCCUCAUCGCAUGGUGGGGGGUGGAAAGCUUUAUUGUGGUUUUGGAUGGACUCGCGGCCUAUCAGCUUGUUGGUGAGGUAAUGGCUCACCAAGGCGACGACGGGUAGCCGGCCUGAGAGGGUGACCGGCCACACUGG
rnacentral:rRNA from 1 species